rnacentral:rRNA from 1 species
UACGUAGGGUGCAAGCGUUGUCCGGAAUUAUUGGGCGUAAAGGGCUCGUAGGCGGUUUGUCGCGUCGGGAGUGAAACUCAGGGCUUAACCCUGAGCCUGCUUCCGAUACGGGCAGACUAGAGGUAUGCAGGGGAGAACGGAAUUCCUGGGUGUAGCGGUGAAAUGCGCAGAUAUCGAGGAGGACACCGGUGGCGAAGGCGGUUCUCUGGGCAUUACCUGACGCUGAGGAGCGAAGCGUGGGAGCGAAGCAGG